rnacentral:rRNA from 1 species
GACGGAGGGUGCUAGCGUUGUUCGGAAUGACUGGGCGUAAAGGGCGCGUAGGCGGCCGCUUGCGUCGGAUGUGAAAGCCCGGGGCUCAACCCCGGAACGGCAUCCGAUACGGGGCGGCUCGAGACCGAGAGAGGUGAGUGGAAUACCCAGUGUAGAGGUGAAAUUCGUAGAUAUUGGCUGGAACACCGGUGGCGAAAGCGGCUCUCUGGCCCGGUUCUGACGCUGAGGCGCGAAAGCGUGGGGAGCAAACAGG